UUCUAGGGUGUGUUAAAAAAU
rnacentral:piRNA from 1 species